UACGUAGGCAGCGAGCGUUGUUCGGAGUUACUGGGCGUAAAGGGUGCGUAGGCGGUUGUUUAAGUUUGGUGUGAAAUCUCCCGGCUCAACUGGGAGGGUGCGCCGAAUACUGAAUAACUAGAGUGCGGAGAGGAGAGUGGAAUUCCUGGUGUAGCGGUGAAAUGCGUAGAUAUCGGAAGGAACACCUGUGGCGAAAGCGGCUCACUGGACCAUUACUGACGCUGAUGCACGAAAGCUAGGGGAGCAAACAGG
rnacentral:rRNA from 1 species